rnacentral:pre_miRNA from 1 species
CUUCUAGUCUGCUCCUCCUCUCUAAUCCUUUGUCCCUGGGUGAGAAUGCUAUUUCUAUGCAAUGCACUCAGGCAAGGAUUUGGAGAGGGUGAGGCUGAUCUACAUAGAG